rnacentral:rRNA from 3 species
UACGUAGGGUCCGAGCGUUGUCCGGAAUUAUUGGGCGUAAAGAGCUCGUAGGCGGUUUGUCGCGUCUGCUGUGAAAUCCCGAGGCUCAACCUCGGGCCUGCAGUGGGUACGGGCAGACUUGAGUGGUGUAGGGGAGACUGGAAUUCCUGGUGUAGCGGUGGAAUGCGCAGAUAUCAGGAGGAACACCGAUGGCGAAGGCAGGUCUCUGGGCACUUACUGACGCUGAGGAGCGAAAGCGUGGGGAGCGAACAGG